AAAAUAAUAAAUUGUUCAUCACCAGCAAAAUAAAUAGCAGAAUCGUAUAUUUGUACUUACAAAAAAAUGUACACUUUUCUAAAAUAACUCAUUGAAAUAAGAUAGUAAGAGUAUGUAAAUCAAGUAAUACGAAUAAAGGUAGACAUUAUAAGCAUUCAUAUGUUAUUAUUUUUAUGGGAAAUUGAGCAUUUCAAGCAAUAUUAAAAUACUGCCACUGCAAACCAUGUGAGCUCAUAGCAACUCAAAUGUUUUUAAUUUCUUUCAAUUAUCACCCUUUAAUACCUUCUGUGUAUAAAAUAUCGCCUGCACUGAUCUUCCAUUCACAAAACUAAAAGAUUUCUUAAUAUUAAAAAUUAAGCAAUUUUUACUGUCAAUUAAUUUCAGAAACGUCUAUGAAGGAUAAUAAACCAAUAAAUGUUGUAAAUGUGAGAGGCACUUUUACAUCUUACUAGUGAUAAAUAGUAGACUAAGUAAUAAUCAGUGGUAAAAAUUAAUCAGUUCAGAAAAGUUUAAAUCAAUCAGGAACGAGGUCGAACCCUGAACGGUUGGGGCUAGUAUGGACACAACAUUCAAGCUGGAUACAGCUCUAAAUUUGGAUUGUGAUUAAAUAGUUGAUGCAGCAUAGGUUUCUGACACCGAAUAAAUGUGGUCUAAUGAACUUUUUUUGCUUUUGAGCAAUUCACUAUGCUGUUGAAUAUAAAUCCUCUAAAAAAAAUAUAUUUGAAGAAUUUUCUUUUUAAUUUUUGAAAUCUGAAAUGACAAAAAUUGCCCACACCCCCACCCCUAUUUUUCUUUUUCACCUCCUCCUUUCCCUUACUCCAAAAAUGAUCUCAAUUCAAAUUCUAAUAGAGUUUGCCACAUAACACUAUUUAAAACAUCAUAAAGUAUUAAGAUAUAAAAUGUCAUACAG
rnacentral:lncRNA from 1 species